UUACGGCCAAAUCACGUUGAAACAUCGGUUCCCGUACGAUCACCGAUGUUAAGCAACGUCGAGUAAGUUCAGUACCUACAUGGAUGACCGCUUGGGAAUGGCAGGUGCCGUAA